GACGACCGCUGGCGGCGUGCUUAACACAUGCAAGUCGAACGGAGUGGAGAACGGGUGAGUAACACGUGGGUGACCUGCCUUGCACUUCGGGAUAAGCUUGGGAAACUGGGUCUAAUACCGGCUAGUGCAAGCUGAGCUAGCGGCCUAUCAGCUUGUUGGUGGGGUAAUGGCCUACCAAGGCGUCGACGGGUAGCCGGCCUGAGAGGGUGUACGUCCACCUAUGGACUUCGAUCCCGCCCAGACUACUACGGGAGGCAGCAGUGGGGAAUAUUGCAGAAUGGGCGGAAACCUGAUGCAGCGACGCCGCGUGGGGGAUGAAGGCCUUCGGGUUGUAAACUCCUUUCGACAGGGACGCGGUACCUGUAUAGAAAGCACCGGCUAACUACGUGCCAGCAGCCGCGGUAAUAG
rnacentral:rRNA from 1 species